rnacentral:rRNA from 1 species
CUUGGCUCUCGCAUCGAUGAAAAACGCAGCGAAAUGCGAUAAGUAAUGUGAAUUGCAAAAUUCAGUGAAUCAUCGAAUCUUUGAACGCAUCUUGCGCUCCUUGGUAUUCCAAGGAGCAUGCCUGUUUGAGUGUC